UUUGAAUGUGUGUGUGAUGGCUGGGGAACGGAGAGAGAGAGAGGAGAGAGAGGGAGGAGUCUUGUGGGAGCCUUCAAAACCAGAGUGCUUAAAAUCCCAAGACCUUCGCAAUGACGAACUUCCCUUUCUCUCUCUCAACCUUCAUGGUUCUUGAACGACGUCGUCGUCUCACGGUGGAUGGGCGGCGACGACGAAUCUCCCCAAUGCCUCCUCCUCCCUUCGCAAAACGAUGCCCAGCCGGAGUCCUCCGCAUCCGCGACACGUGUCCCGCUAGCUCAGACGCCGAUCCUCCUGCUCGUCUGCUUCCACAAGGCGCUGCUGGCCGAGCUCCUCGAUCUCCGCCUCGUGACCACCGCCGCCUUGGAGAGUGGCUCACGUGACCGCCUAGACCGCGACUUCGUUCUCCUGCUUCUGCGGCGGUUUGAGUUCCUCAAGCUCGCGUAUGAGUACCACUGCUCUUCAGAGGACGAGAUAAUCUUUUUAGCGUUAGAUGGGCGAACAAAAAAUGUAGCUAGUACAUAUUCACUAGAACAUAGGAGUAUAGACGGUCUCUUCGACUCGAUUUUCAAUCGCUUGGAUGUUUUGUUAGAGGAAAACGAGAAUGAGAAUUUUCCCAAGCAAUUUCAAGAACUUGUGUUUGGCAUCGGGACACUGAAGGAAUUCGUUUCCCAGCAUAUGCUGAAAGAAGAACAGCAGGUUUUUCCCUUGAUCCUGCAGCAGUUCUGUCGCGAAGAACAGGCUGCACUUGUGUGGCAGUUCAUGUGUAGUGUUCCUUUAUUGCUGCUUGAGGAUCUACUUCCGUGGACGAUCUCCUUUCUUCCACCUGAUGAACAAGAGGAAGUUAGACAUUGCAUAAAAGCAAUUGUACCUGAUGAAAAAUCACUUCAAGAGGUGGUAAAUUCUUGGCUUGCUAGCAAUGAACAAUCCUCCUUUGGGGCCUCCAAGAAUUCUAGAGGAGCUCAACAAGCCGGCGAAUAUGCAGACAUGAAAAAGUUACUGACGUCUCAUUCGCCCAAAAGGUUUUUAGAAGAACAUAAAAGACACAUUAAGGCAGAUUGCAUCCACUCUGAUAUUGGAUACAAUCCGGUUGAUGGCCUUCCUCUUUGGCAUGGAGUCAUUAGGAAAGAUUUGACGACAAUUCUGGAGGAGCUAUAUCAAAUAAGAAGCGCAAGCAGUUUUUUGAAUCUUGAUUCAGUAGUUGUCCAGCUAAAAUUCUUUGUAGAUGUCCUUAAUUUCUACAGCAGUGCAUUGGAGAAGUUAUAUCAUCCUGUGUUGAAUGAACUUUUCAACGGCUGCCUUUACCCCUACAGUGAACAAUUUCCAAAUGAAAACCACGUUGAAGGUUUGCAGAGGUUGCUAUACUAUGAGCCUCAAGAUGGAACACCUUUGAGCAAAUUUGUUGAGAAGCUUUGCUGGGAACUGGAGUCUUAUGUGGUGGGAAUUAACAAGUACUUUGCUUUCCAAGAAACCAAGGUAGUUCCCAUUGUAAGGAAGAAUUGCAGUCAUGAUAUGCAGCUGCAACUCUUGUAUGCGAGCCUUCAUAUUCUGCCACUUGGGAUGCUAAAGUGCAUGACUACUUGGUUUUCGUCUUGCUUAUCUGAGGACGAAUCCAGGUCCAUCCUUAGCAACUUGAAGGAGGGAGAUUCUUUAAUCAAUAAAUCAUUUGCAUCCCUCUUACAUGAGUGGUUCCGCAUUGGUCAUUCAGGUAAGACCUCUGUUGAAAAGUUUCGUGAGGAGUUGCAGCAAAUAUUCAAGAGCAGAUGCACUUCCUUAAAGCAAUUCUAUAAUACUAGUGGAUCUUCCUCCUUAAGUUCCAUUAUGAAACCUAUUGAGGCAUCAAACACUAAGCUAAUGGAGCUAAUCUCUUCAGAUAAGGGCAAGAAUUCUCUGUCAUACUCUUCAUCUUGUGCCUCUGACUCUGCCAGGAAUUAUAGGACGUCAUAUUCCAGCAGAAAUAAACUUCACUUAUAUUUCACUGGAACAGUGAAAACAUCGUAUCACUUUCCUGAAAGUCUUAGUGGAGAGAACCAUCCUGGUUACGCUCUUCAUGAACCAAAACCAAUAGAUCUCAUAUUUUUCUUCCACAAGGCUCUCAAGAAAGAUUUGGAAUACCUUGUAUUUGGCUCAGCUCAGUUGGCUGACAAUGCUGAUUUUCUCUCAGAGUUUUGCCGGCGAUUCCAACUUAUUCAGUUUCUAAAUCAAAUACAUAGUGAAGCAGAGGAAGAAGUCGCCUUUCCAGCUUUAGAGGCAAAAGGAAAACUGCAAAACAUUAGCCACUCUUACAUGAUAGACCACAAAUUAGAAGUUGAACACUUUCACAAGAUAUCCCUCGUUCUGGAUGAGAUGUCUAUAUUGCAUGUUUCUGCUUCUGACGUGGAUUCAAAUGCAGUGGAUAAUAAAAUGCAGAAGCACCAUCAGCUGUGCAGGAGGCUUCAUGACAUGUGCACAUCAACCUGCAAGUUACUGACUGAACAUGUUCAUCGUGAAGAAUUUGAGCUCUGGCCCUUGUUUAAAGAAUGCUUCUCCAUUGAAGAGCAAGAAAGGAUUGUAGGAUGCAUACUUGGUAGAACAGAAGCAAAAAUAUUGCAAGAUAUGUUACCUUGGCUAAUGGACGCUUUGACACAAGAAGAACAGCAAGUCAUGAUUACUCUAUGGCGCCAGGUCACACGAAACACAAUGUUUGAUGAGUGGUUGAGAGAAUGGUGGGAGGGAUAUGAGACAGCUAAGUUGGUAGAGGAGUCCAUUGUACCUCCUUCAUUGACUGAAGAUCCAUUGGAGGUUGUCUCUGCCUAUCUGUGUGGAUCGAGUGAACAAGAAGGAAGAUGUUGUAACAAAAGUGUCAAUUUUCCAGAAAAAGAUUCCCAUAGUGCUAAUACCGAGCCAUCGGAAAAUAGUGAGGUGGGUUAUAAGCCAAAAGGUCCCGGAGGUGACCAAUGUAUUUCCACUGAUACAGAAUGUACAAGACUUUGUGAUGAAGGUAACAAGAAGAAAUUACAAGAAGUUGAAAAUGCCACAAAUCAAAUCAAUGAUAUAGGUCACCUUUUGCAAAGAAGCCAGAAAUCCAAGUACUGUGAGUGCCUGCUGACACUUAGUCAAGAGGAUAUGCAGGCUGCAGUAAUAAAAAUCUCCCGUGACUCUUCCUUGGAUCCUCAGAAGAAACCACAUAUGAUCCAGAACCUGAUAAUGAGCCGUUGGAUAGCCAGACAGAACUCUGAAUUAACAGUUGCAAGUAAUGGGAAAGAAUUUCCUGGUCAGCAUCCAUCCUAUCAUGACCCUCUUGGAGUAACCUAUGGUUGUAAACACUAUAAGAGGAACUGUAAGCUUUUUGCUGCCUGUUGCAACCAACUUUACACUUGCAUACGCUGCCAUGAUGAGAUGGCUGAUCAUGAGAUAGAUAGGAAAUCUAUAACAGAGAUGAUGUGCAUGAAAUGCUUGAAGAUGCAGACAGUUGGGCCCACAUGCUCAACUGCAUCCUGCAGUAACUUUUCUAUGGCAAAAUACUUUUGCAGGAUCUGCAAAAUAUUUGAUAACGAACGGGUCAUCUACCAUUGUCCUUACUGUAACUUGUGCCGAGUUGGAAAGGGAUUGGGUAUUGACUACUUCCAUUGCAUGACAUGUAAUGCCUGCAUGUCCCGUUCUCUAUUGAAGCACACAUGCAGAGAGAAAUGCUUUAUGGAUAACUGCCCUAUUUGCAAUGAAGACAUCUUCACCUCAAAUUCUCCAGUGAAGUCCCUUCCAUGCGGUCAUUUGAUGCACUCAACAUGUUUUGAGGCCUACACCUUUACGAAUUAUACUUGCCCAAUCUGUGGCAAGUCACUCGGGGACAUGCAGGUGUAUUUUAGAAUGUUGGAUGCAUUUUUGGCUAAACAGGAAACUCCAGACGAGUACGCCGGCCAAACUCAGGUCAUACUCUGCAAUGACUGUGAGAAGAGAGGAACUGCUCCCUUUCACUGGCUUUACCACAAGUGCCCCUAUUGUGGUUCAUACAACACCAGGCUUCUAUGAUGCAAUUCCAAACGGAACUGCUCCCUUUCACUGGCUUUACCACAAGUGCCCCUAUUGCGGAGGCUUCUAUGACGCAAUUCCAAACGGUUGGAUAGAGAGCGGCUGAAGAACUCCGAGUUCGGAUUGAAUCGCCUCGGAAUUAUUAUUGUUGUUGUUGCUGUUGUUAGUCAUAAAAGGAUUCGAAAUCCACAUCUGAUUUCCAGCAUCAUUAUUAUUGUUGUUG